rnacentral:rRNA from 1 species
GUCCACGCUGUAAACGAUGAGUGCUAGUUGUCGGCAUGCAUGCAUGUCGGUGACGCAGCUAACGCAUUAAGCACUCCGCCUGGGGAGUACGGUCGCAAGAUUAAAACUCAAAGGAAUUUACGGGGGCCCGCACAAGCGGUGGAGCAUGUGGUUUAAUUCGAAGCAACGCGCAGAACCUUACCACCUUUUGACAUGUCCAGAUCGCUAGAGAGAUCUAGUUUUCCCUUCGGGGACUGGAACACAGGUGCUGCAUGGCUGUCGU